rnacentral:lncRNA from 1 species
CCUACGCCCUCCCUGAGCCCCCCCACACCUCUCCCUGGCCCCUGCCCCCUCCCCAGGGCUCCCCACACCUUGCCCAGGGCCAGCACCCUCCCAGGGUGCUUUUUUCCAGUCUUUUGGAGUAAUUCAGCCAUGUGGUAGUGUUUGCUAGACUAAAGCGAUGAAUUUUUUCUUUUUUUCUUCAUGUGAUUUUUCUUCUCAGAAAGAAGUAUUGCUUCACAGGGCCCACCGCUUGCUAGGAGUAAGUAUCAACUACUGCAUGCCCCCAGUUUGCUAAACCUUCGUUGCCUAGGUUUCUCGGAGGAAUUUAUUCCAAGGAAUGAAUAAUAGCGGUGCCAAUAGCCCUGGAUGACAGAAGAGCCCCAGGCUCUGCAAGAGUGAGUUAUUUCAGCUGAUACCUGCUGUCUCGGGGAUCCAGGCACUGGGAUCACUAGCUGUCUAAAGUGGCCCAAAGGACAUUAUAGUUCAGUUGCCCUCUGUGAAGCACAGUUGUAGUAGGAGUACUCGGUCAUUUGCCUCUCAUUUAUUUUAUUUAGAAAGUGAGAAAAACAGUGAGAAAGAGGGAACCUUGGAAGCGCACAACAUACAGAAAACUGAAGAAAAAUAUCUUCGGCAGGCUGAGAAAAGAGAAGAAAUACUAGCUUUACUGAGGAGGCAGAGAGAAGAAAGGAUUGCAAAAGAAUUGAUUUCUCAUCCAUAUAAACCAAAGACCAAAACAAACCAAACGAGGUAACUAAAGUACUUAAAGUAAGGAUUUUACUCCGCUUAAGUAGUCAGGCCUCAUUUGGGAGGACAAAGAUGUUCUGUUUAAAUUAUUCUUACUGUUUUGAAAAAUAUGCAGUGUUAUCCUGUAUGAUCUGUUAUGAUAAAAUUUAGAGAUUGAGGCUAAUCUGCCUGCUAUUACUGUGCUGUACUUGGUUUUGAAAUAUAACAAGCAUGGAUAUGUAAUAAGCACAGAUAGAUGUAAGUCAUUUACUUCUCUAUGUUCCAUUUAUUUCUAAGUAGAACUUAGGGAAAGGAAAUGGAAGCUUAGUUAAUAAAAGCAAGUUAUGAAGACUUUAAUUUUGCA